CGGCGGACGGGUGAGUAACACGUGGAUAACCUACCUAUAAGACUGGGGUAACUUCGGGAAACCGGAGCUAAUACCGGAUAAUAUAUUGAACCGCAUGGUUCAAUAGUGAAAGACGGUUUUGCUGUCACUUAUAGAUGGAUCCGCGCCGCAUUAGCUAGUUGGUAAGGUAACGGCUUACCAAGGCAACGAUGCGUAGCCGACCUGAGAGGGUGAUCGGCCACACUGGAACUGAGACACGGUCCAGACUCCUACGGGAGGCAGCAGUU
rnacentral:rRNA from 1 species